UUUCUUAAUUUCAUCGCGAUAAAAUAGCAAUGGUUAAAAAAUAUUUUAGAAUUAAUAAAAUUAUCAUGUCAUUGCCUAUUUAACUUUCUUUUGCGUGCCAAUUUUGAUUCCGAAAUUUUAUAUUUUUUCACUUUAGUUCCCAACACAUAUAUAAAUUAGUAAUCCUAAAAAAGAUCUCUCUAGGAUUGUGGGGCCUACAUAAUUUUUUAAAAGAUUAAUUUAUAUAAUAAUAUGCUAUUUGGUAGUUAAAUUUUUUUACAAUGUAAAAAAUGUCUAUUUUAAUUUCGAAUGCCUUUUGAUUAGUCUUAAUUUUUUUGCUUCUUAUAAUUACUUACUGAUUUCUUCACUGAUUUAAAAUUUAGGAAUCAAAUAUUUUAUUAGUUGUACAUUGUUUGUAAAUUCUAUCUUGAUGAUAAUAGAAAAAUAUUAUUUAUCUUUCUUAAUACUUAAUAAUUUUUUAUUUUAUUUUAAACUGAUAUAUUUAUUUUACUUAUUAGGUUUAAAUAUUUUCAGAAAGAAGUAUACUUUAAUUUUAUUUUUUAAUUUAUUCUCUAAUUUUUAAUUAUUCAAUACUGAAAUAAAUAAUACUUAAAAAUAUUAAUCUAUAAUAAAAAAUAUUAAUAAUAAUUAUAAUAAUUUACUGUUAUAUUAUUUUUUCGCUGUAUGGCGUGCCUUAAC
rnacentral:lncRNA from 1 species